AGAUAACUAAAUCAGAAAUACAUCUUGAAUUUUGUUAAAUUCAUCUUUUGGGCAUCCAUUGAGAUGACCGUGUGGGUUUUUUCAUUUGACCUAUUAGUACAAUGAAUUAUGUGUAUUUCCUAAUAUUGAAUAACUCUUGCACUCUUAGAAUGGACCCCACAGUUUUUACUUCUUCAAUUUACUGCUGAAUUCCAUUUGUUAAUAUUUUAUUUAUUUUACAUCAAUAUGUAUAAGUGAGAUUUGUCUGUGGCUUUCUUACAUGUGAACUUUGUUCGGAGUCCAUGCAUUUCCCAAACUGUUUUUUGUAGUCCCUGACCAUUCAAGGACUGAAGAUGUGCCUAUAUUAAGGGAGGACUCCACUGAAUGCCAGCCAUCCAUCCCUUCCAUGUUUCUUUGCUGCAUAUUAUCGUUUCUGAGACAUUUUAUAUGCUCCUUGGAUAUCUAUGGGAAUAAACAUCAUUAAUUGUAAAUGUGGAGAUGCUAGCACAGAUUGUUUAAUCCAAGUAGACUAUUUAAACAAACUGCAGUGGAAUUUACUGAGAAAUGAUAAAUGAUGGCUAUUCUAUUAUUUUAUGUUUGUUCUUUAAAAAAUCA
rnacentral:lncRNA from 1 species